UUAGGUCCUGGCAGGUCCCAAACCCUUUCUUUAGGUCCUGGCAGGUCCCAAACCCUUUCUUUAGGUCCUGGCAGGUCCCAAACCCUCUCCUGUCCCUCCCCAGGUCCUGGAAGACAACGACUAUGGACUGGUGGGGCCUGGGGGUGGUGAUGGACGAGGGGCAGGUCCUGGCAGGUCCCAAACCCUUUCCUUAGGUCCUGGCA